GUUCCACCAUGUUAGUGCUCUGUCAGAGAAGGUACAAGCUACGAACUUGACCUUGUUGCCUUCUUGGCAAGCACAGAUUUCAAAGACGGAUUCCAUCUUUUCAAUCCAUUGUCUCAAUACCAUAACACCCCCAGUUCCAUUGAAGCUGUGGGGUUUGGCGUUCGUGAAGUCCUUGUAGGUGCAUUCCCGAGGGUGUCCAUGGCUUCGCUGUGGUUCGAGGGAGGUGCACCUAUUCCUGAUCCACUAAGGGCAAGAGCGUUGAUUGCUGACACAGCAGCUGCAACUGCUGCUGUGAAAGCUGCUUGGAACAUAUUGGCAUCGAAAGGAUUAGGUGGUUGAAGAGGUUCAGGUGGUGGUGGAGGUGGUGGUAUUGGUGUUUCGUUGUUUGGGUUACGCCUUGUAUUUCUGCGUGGCGGCAUCUUUAACUAUACGUUUAAAAGAUGACGACAUGGAUAAGAAUAAAUGAAUAAUGAAUGUGUCUCAUGGACUAACUCCCCAUAGUCCAACAACAGAAUGAAUAUAAUGACUAAAUGAAGAUGACAGCAUUUGGAUAAUAAUUUCCAUAAGAUUAGACAUCUGUCAAUAAUACUAGGAUUACAGAUGUAAACAAGUUCGGGAAAAUGGCCUAGAAGUAGGCCUUACAUCAACCAAGAUGGAAAAUUUUGACAGAAUUAAGACUAGAUCAAGACCUAAAAGGUCUAAGAUUUAUAAAGACAGGAAAUUAGACCAAAGUUUUACAUAAACUAGGUUAUAUCCAAAAGAUGAGUCNNNNNNGGUCUAAGAUUUACAAAGAUAGGAAAUUAGACCAAAGUUUUUACAUAAACUAGGUUAUAUCCAAAAGAUGAGUCGUCGAGAUUCU
rnacentral:lncRNA from 1 species